GUUUCUGGGCCCUGCUGUUGCUAGUUUGCUGCUUGACCUCAAGGAUUUUGCCUGUCCUGGCUAGGAUAGUUGUAUUUUGGUCCUUUCUCACUGUGGCUGUUAAGGGUCCUGUGAGCAGCAGGGAAGUGUUUAACUUCGCUUUGGUUUGAGGGAGUUGCCAGUGGCAAGGGGCGAAUGGACAAGGUCUCCUUGGCCAUAGGAGAAGGGUAGGAUGGAGCGGUGGAGUGGGCACUUCAAAUUUAUCACCUACCAGUUGGCUAGAGGUUGGUUUGCAAGCAGGAGGAGCCCAGGAACCGGGGGGAUGAACAUCCACACUGACGAGGUGUUUUGGCGGCCCCCGUUUUACCUGUAACUGGCAGAGUGAGGCCACCUGGAUGCUUGCCCCGCUUCCCAGGAGAUUUUGCAGGCCUGUGCUGCAGCAGCGCACUGAGCAGGGCUGUGCUGGGAGAUGCGCAUCCAUCGUGCGCUAACAGAGGAGAAAUGGUGCCUCUCCUGGUUUGCCGCUUCCUUGUCAGGCUUAGCUGGGCACUCAGCCCCUUCAGACAGCAGAUGUGGAGCAGUUGAAGGGGGCUCUGCGAGUCUCAAGGACAAGCUCCUGCCUUUUCUUCCCACCCUGAAACAAUUGCCUAUUUCUGCUCUAUUUCUUUCUGUAAGGGACAUUUAUAAUGUAUGACAUUUAGGCACACAAGGAAAGUGGAAACAUAAAUUAGUUUCUUCCAAUUACCGCAAAAUUACCCUUGCCCAGUUGUCUGCUUUGAACUGAUACAGCUACUAAAUUAGAAAGAGUGACCUGGGUCUUUUCUAUUUGUGGUGCUGGAGUUUCUGACCUAGCAAGCUUGUUACAGCCCACUGUGCCCAAUCUAUCAUAGAAUAAAACAAGUGAUGGUAAAAGGCAUGGGAUCAGAACCGUGAAUUUUCUUGUUUUUAAGAAAAUACUGCGUUACCUUCUCCAUCCAUGAGCCGCUCUGCAUCAAGCUGAGUGCUGAGCAAGAACAUGCGAAUGGCCAUGCUGGGUUUCACCAAGGACUUGUCCAGCCCUAGCAACUUUGAGUCAAAGCCCUGUGGAAGAGCAGGAACAGGACAAGCACGAUGCCUGCCAAAGGGCUUCCUUGGCAUCCAGCUAUUUUCCAUUCAGGGUCUUACUGAGCUGGGUGUGGAUUUGUGGUAUUUUGUAUUUAAAACGUAUUAUUGUUUUGCCUGUUUUGCCUUGACUUCUUAUUGAUGUCCAGCUUGUCUGUAGUUUCAUUCUGCUGUCAGAGUAUUUGGAUUUUUGUGAUUAAUCUGCACGCAGCGCAUGUGAAAGUUAUCCCCUUGGGUGUUUAGGAGCUGAGGCCCGAUACAGAUGAGGGAAAUGGAGUUAGAGGUGCGGGAAAGAGCUGUUCUGCUUUCCUUCUCAAAAAUGUUAUGGCAUGGGCAAGAAGCCGUCCCACUGACAUCCUUCGGCCUUGACCUGGAGAGGCCCUUGUGAGUCAGAAUUAUAAGCGCCAAGCCUCGCAGUUUCUGGUCGUGAGGAAUUCUGAAUAUUUAUACUGCAGGGAGGUGAGGAGUUGACACUGUGUGCAGCUGAGGGCAAGCAGAUGAUCACGUUUACGCGUGCAUAAUGCACGUGCAGGGUUGGGAAAGGAAGCUGACUGCCUGCCCUUGGCAGCGCUGCUCUCUGCCAGCCAUGGUCAGAAAGCAGCGCCUUGGUUAGUGCUGCAGCCAGGCUGGGACAUGGCCACUGAGUGCCACAGCCCCCUCACUUGAUCCCAGGAGACUUCACAGCAUCUCAUCUGUGGGAGCUUUCUGCGCCUUGUCAUCGGUGCUGCUCUGAAGCCAGAGAAGCUGUGCAGGUGGAGACGCAGGGUGUGAAACCACAGACAGCAAGCUGCCUCCCAGGACCUGAAUUUGGGGUAGCCUACUGGUCAGAGACCCAGACAAAAGGGGAAUGAGGAGUCCUCACCUUCAAGCUGAGCAUCCAUGUAGUUCUGUGCAACGAGGAGAGAAAAAAAGGGACAACCUCAAACGUGGGCAACUAAGGCACAUGUUGGCUGGAUUUAAUUCGCAGCUUCCUGGUCUUUGCUUAGCAGGAGUUUUUGCAGAUACGGAAACAGUGGCAGGUGCUCCUUGGGAUGCUUGGUGCCACUGGGUGCAGACUCUGGCGCACAGGUUCCACAGUGCUUGUCACUGUGACAUGAGACUGGCAGCAUCCUGGACCCCAAUUUACAACAGGUACCUCCAAUCCGGUGUGGCUUCCUCCCCAACUGCUGUGGUUUGCUAUUCAUGAGGACGUUACUGCCGCUGCGAAGCUGCUGCUCAAUGUCACUGUGAGAGCGUGGACAAAGUACUGGUAUCGUUAGCAGGCAGAUGACACCUACAGUAGUCAAAGCAGUUUUAAUCUGUUUUUGCUCACUUGUGAUGUUUCAGAGCCUGGUGGGCUUUUCUUGUACGAGAAGGUUUUUGGCUUUUUGGGAGAUGUUCAAAAAAGUCCUUCCAACUGUUUUUGAGUAAAAAUUGCAGCUGUUCUUUUGUUGUUGUUAAAAGACUUUAAGUGUGCUUUUAGAGACAUUAUUGCAGUAAAAAUAUUGACUAUGAAAUCUGCCUUGAUUGCAGAUCUUCUUGAAGGGUUCUCCCUUUGCUUGGUGAUCGUGGUGCAAAAGAAGAAUGUUGCAAACAUAAAUGUGAUCACCCGCUUACCAACGUGAAAGCUGCUUGCUCUCAGCCAGCUGAGUGCAUAUCUGCUUCAGGCAUGCAUAGGAGGGGUUUUUUACAUGUAUUUCUUCACGUGGCAUCUUCUGGGCAGAGGUAUACCCAUAUGCCAAUACCAAAUCAAUCAAAAGCAGCGUUGUUAAGCUCGCGUAUCGGCCAAGUGCUGCAGAAUAUGGACUAUACCGUGUAGGCAUGUACUGUGUGUCAUAUCAAAUGUGAAGAUGCAGGCAUGCCAGUUACGAACAAAGGAACCUCCGAAGUGCUGCUAGCAGAGCUCUGCUUCCUUUGCUAUGUCACUAAAAUGGGCGUAACAGCUUUCUGUGGCAUGGUGAGGCUUACUGAAUGUCUACGUGAAAGAUAAUACAGGAUUAAAUAAUAAUUCCAUUUCAGAUCUUGUUGAGGGACUGCGCGUAUGUCAUCUAAAAUUUUUACACUUGGAAUAAAAAUUAUUUACACCACU